GCAGAAGGAUCUCUCUGCAGGAAAUUCUAGGUUCUGGAGCUUUGCCACGUGUUUCAGAUUCAGAAUAAGAAAACCCUGCUUGAAAAUGAGCGACAUCUGGCUUUAUUUCCCCGUGCAAGAUGUCUUGAAAGGAACACUUUCUUCCCGGGCUGUUAUUCCGUUGCACAAUAGCUUGGCCCUCUCCGAUACCCCUAUUGACCAUCUAAGAUUUUAAACGUGUUGAGGCGUCUGGAACUUUCGUCCAAAUAAAACUGCUGGGAGGGACCGAGCCUGUUGCUCUUUCGACGGCACGAAUGAGUAAGGAAGCUCGUGGGGGAGGCAAUCCAGACGGCGUGAGCGGCUGCUUUUCGGAGGAGACCCGGAGCAGCCGACCGAACUAAGGCGCCAGGGGGAAAAAAAGGCCAUUCUCGACCGCGCAGAAAACGAUGGCCGUUUUGAAUACUGAGGGCCCACGGAUAAGGGAGUUGUGCACAUUUUGUACAUUACAUGAUUUGAGGAUGUGAAAUGAAACCACCACUGGAUGCACAGUAUCUAAUUCAUCAGCAUAUAUUACAAUGUAGCUAGAAUUAUAUGGAAGCAAAUUCAAUUGAAGAUAAGAUUAUGUGGAGGACAAAGGGAAUGGCCCUGAAGAAUAGGAGGAAGAGCCACUGCCAAGGCAAUAGUCAGAUAAGCAGGGCUUGAACCCAGAACAAGAAAGAAACUUGAAAAAACAUCUCAGACAAGACCCUCCAUAGUUCACACAAAGUUAAAUUGAGGGGAGGAAGCACAUUCAGACUUGCAAGA